rnacentral:rRNA from 1 species
AGCAGCCGCGGUAAUUCCAGCUCCAAUAGCGUAUAUUAAAGUUGUUGCAGUUAAAAAGCUCGUAGUUGAACUUCAGGCCUGGCUGGACGGUCCGCCCUCUGGGUGAGCACUGUCUGUGGUCGGGUCCUACCUUCUGGCGAAGCGGCAUGGCCUUAACCGGCCGUGGCGGGGAACCAGGACUUUUACUGUGAAAAAAUUAGAGUGUUCAAAGCAGGCACGCGCUUGAAUACAUUAGCAUGGAAUAAUGGAAUGGGACAAUGGUUCUAUUUGUUGGUUUCUAGGACCGUUGUAAUGAUUAAUAGGGAUAGUUGGGGGCAUUAGUAUUCAAUUGUCAGAGGUGAAAAUUCUUGGAUUUAUUGAAGACUAACUACUGCGAAAGCAUUUGCCAAGGAUGUUUUCAUUAAUCAAGAACGAAAGUUAGGGAUCGAAGACGAUCAGAUACCGUGUAGUCUUAACCGAUAAACUAUGACCGACUAGGAAUCAGACGAUAGUUAAUUUUUAAUGUACUUCGGUUUGGCUA